AGAGAUAUGGAUGUUAUGAAAUUGUAAGUGCUAUUAUCAUAAUAAUAUUUAAUAUCAAUACUGUUUGUGUUGCUUUUCCAUAUUAUUGUUUUCUGGGUUGAAGCUAAUGAGAUCAUGAACAUGUAAUCUUUAGUUUCUUACCUGUCCUCCAUGGUGUUUGAAACUGUAUUAUUGUAUAUUAGCGAUAAUGAUUUGUGCUUUUGAUUUCUUUGUUACCUUUUGAAACUUUAGGCGUCUUUUUCUUUUGCAUUUCACAUCACCUGUUAUUGAUAUUCAAAUUAUUUUGUAGAUGGUAGCCAUUGUAAUUGUGUCUCUACCUGCUGUUUUAUAUUUUGUAGGAUGAUGAGUGACUACACUGUGGA
rnacentral:misc_RNA from 1 species